rfam:Aedes aegypti strain Liverpool supercont1.872 genomic scaffold, whole genome shotgun sequence.
GGGGGGGUAUCGUAGCCUCGAGGUUACGCAUUCGCUUCGUAAGCGGAAAGUCAUGGGUUCGAUUUCCAAUCCCCCCA